rnacentral:lncRNA from 1 species
GGUUUGCGGCUCACACAGACAAACAGUUCGCGACCAAAAUGGAAGACGGUGAGGGCUUGCCGUGGCCCCUCUUUGUCCUGUUCCAUCGUAACAACCUUACCAACGGGCAAGCCAAGAGCACGCAGGGAUGCUGCAAGCUCAUGCCCAGUUGCCUCCCACAUGUCGCCCUCAGCAGUUACAAUCCCAACAUGUGCCCAACGGAAGAACCGCAGCACAGAGAAAAGCACCCGGGAGGACAACGGCAGCGGCCGCAGAAAGGUAAUGGUGUUUGACAUCCACAAGUUUUGGGAAGGCUGUUUUUGGCAAAUUUGGAGUCCUCAAAGGAGGGUCAAACCCAAGGCUGAGCUUCACUUUUGAGUCAGUGGAGGACAACUAAGAGAACUAGAGGAGGAGACAUAGAGGUGAGGGAUGCUGAACAAACUGAAUCAUAAUGAUGACUGACAGGACUGAGUGGUUAGGCUCCUGUUAAAGCCAAGUUUGAAACCUCAUGUAAAGUUUUACCUUUAAAACAUAAAUGUGAACAAACACAUCUAUUUGUAAAAGAGAACAGUGUUUCUUUAUCCUUAAAACACCAUUUUUGAUCGUUAGUGGAUGCUAGCUGAGUUAGUAGCCAACAUUCUUAGCACCGUGACAGGACAAGACAUACUUUUCAAUAAAUAGUAAAAUUAUAAUUUUUUAAAGUAUAUUAUUAUUCAUUCAUUAAUCUGGGGUUGCCA